rnacentral:rRNA from 1 species
AUUGAACGCUGGCGGCAGGCCUAACACAUGCAAGUCGAACGAGUGGCGGACGGGUGAGUAAUGUCUGGGCACCUGCCUGAUGGAGGGGGAUAACUACUGGAAACUGUAGCUACUACCGCCUACCACCAGAUGUGCCCAGUUGGGAUUCGCUAGUGGGUGGGGUAACGGCGCACCAAGGCGACGACCCGUAGCUGGUCUGAGAGGAGGACCAGCCACACUGGAACGGAGACACGGUCCAGACUCCUACGGGAGGCAGCAGUGGGGAAUUUUGGACAAUGGGGGCAAGCCUGAUGCAGCCAUCCCGCGUGUAUGAAGAAGGCCUUCGGGUUGUAAAGUACUUUCAGCGGGGAGGCGUUACCCGCAGAAGAAGCACCGGCUAACUACGUGCCAGCAGCCGCGGUAAUUC